AUUGAACGCUGGCGGCAGGCUUAACACAUGCAAGUCGAGCGGAGAGAGGUAGCUUGCUACUGAUCUUAGCGGCGGACGGGUGAGUAAUGCUUAGGAAUCUGCCUAUUAGUGGGGGACAACAUUUCGAAAGGAAUGCUAAUACCGCAUACGUCCUAUGGGAGAAAGCAGGGGAUCUUCGGACCUUGCGCUAAUAGAUGAGCCUAAGUCGGAUUAGCUAGUUGGUGGGGUAAAGGCCUACCAAGGCGACGAUCUGUAGCGGGUCUGAGAGGAUGAUCCGCCACACUGGGACUGAGACACGGCCCAGACUCCUACGGGAGGCAGCAGUGGGGAAUAUUGGACAAUGGGCGCAAGCCUGAUCCAGCCAUGCCGCGUGUGUGAAGAAGGCCUUAUGGUUGUAAAGCACUUUAAGCGAGGAGGAGGCUACUUUAGUUAAUACCUAGAGAUAGUGGACGUUACUCGCAGAAUAAGCACCGGUUAACUCUGUGCCAGCAGCCGCAGUAA
rnacentral:rRNA from 1 species